rnacentral:rRNA from 1 species
UGGGGAAUUUUGGACAAUGGGGGAAACCCUGAUCCAGCCAUCCCGCGUGUGCGAUGAAGGCCUUCGGGUUGUAAAGCACUUUUGGCAGGAAAGAAACGUCGCGGGUUAAUACCCCGCGAAACUGACGGUACCUGCAGAAUAAGCACCGGCUAACUACGUGCCAGCAGCCGCGGUAAUACGUAGGGUGCAAGCGUUAAUCGGAAUUACUGGGCGUAAAGCGUGCGCAGGCGGUUCGGAAAGAAAGAUGUGAAAUCCCAGAGCUUAACUUUGGAACUGCAUUUUUAACUACCGGGCUAGAGUGUGUCAGAGGGAGGUGGAAUUCCGCGUGUAGCAGUGAAAUGCGUAGAUAUGCGGAGGAACACCGAUGGCGAAGGCAGCCUCCUGGGAUAACACUGACGCUCAUGCACGAAAGCGUGGGGAGCAAACAGGAUUAGAUACCCUGGUAGUCCACGCCCUAAACGAUGUCAACUAGCUGUUGGGGGCCUUCGGGCCUUGGUAGCGCAGCUAACGCGUGAAGUUGACCGCCUGGGGAGUACGGUCGCAAGAUUAAAA